CCAUUGGGCAGGAAGCCCGCAGAGGCGGGGAAGGGGGUGCCGAAAUGCCCUCCAGGCACCAAGUCCCGUCUCGACUUGGAAAACUUCUACUACAAAAGCAGUUAAGUCUAAGGACUACUGAACACAAGGAAACUUAGGAUACAUUCAUUUGGAAGGCUCUGAGUUCACCAGAUAGAUGUUCCACCAUUUGCUUCUUAACUGAAUUUUCAUGAUGGAUUCCGAUGGAAUACUGACAGGAUGGGCAAAUGUCAUGUGAUGGGACUCGUUUGAAAUCAUUCUCAAUCAAAAUACCCAAAAUGUGGGUAUUUCCUAAUGUGAUAAGGUCAUAGAAAUAACUGUGAAUGUGGUCAUCAAGAAUUACUUACCUGCAGAAAAACUGGAAUUUCAUUUUUUACAGAAGAAAGAGUAGGCACAAGUUAAAGUAUGAACAGACUCAAAAUCCAUGUUUCACUUAUCCAUGUUCUUGAAAUAUCCCCCUUCCACUUAAGUCUUUGUGGGCUUCUCUAGUACUCUAGUACUAAUCUAUGAUGUGCCUUUCACCAGGGUUGACAUAUUCUGUAAGCUCAUAUUUGACAUAUUCUGUCAGCUCAUGGAGUUAUUUUGAAGAUAAAAUGAAGGAAAAUGAAAUAAAUAUUGUUUUAUAUGUGCCUUCAAGUCAUCUCUGCUGAUCCUAAGGAAACACUAUCAUGGGCUUUUCUUGGCAAGAUUUGUUUAGGGGGAGCUUUGCCAGCGUUGAACUCUGAAACUAAAAAUGUGUGACUUUCUCAGAGUUUCCCAAUGGAAACUCUGACUUUCUCAGAGAUUCCAUGGCCAAGUGGGGGAUUAAAACCCUGGUUUCCAGAGUCAUCGUCCAGCAGUCUAAUCACUAAAUCCCACUCUCCAGAUUAAAAUUGAGGUAGUAAUGGGGAUGACAAUAGAGACAAAGAAAUCUAAAUUAUUUCUGGAAAUAAUUCAGACUCCCGAGAAUGGGUUGUCAAGCUAACACAAAUGGAUUUGGCAAAUGUCAUUCAAAAUUCUUCAAAAGGUGACCUUCACAAUGCUUCCAUCUCUUUUUAAAUUCAGUUGCAUUUAGAAAAAAGGGAUUUUCCAUGUAGAGUCUGAAACAGGAACCAGAUCUAAUGAGAGUGAAUUGUAGCUUUAGAUUUUCCUUGUCUUGCGGUUUAGCCCAGUCUAUAAUGAUGAGUUUCUUUUUUGGAUACUGCACACAUUAUUACCAAACACAUAUCUAUGGGUAAAUUUCCUGUGUGGUUUUUUAUAGACUGGCAUCUGUUGCGUAAUAACAGAUAUUGAUUCACUGCCUAGUGUUUUACUCAUUGUGUGUUCACCUUUGCACACAAUUAUUUGUUUAUAUAUUGUUAAUGUAUGCUUUACAGUUGGGUUGUGCAUCUAUUGCAAUUCAUUAAUUACAGUUGCAUUAUCAAAAAUGUGGGUCACUUAAGGUCCAAAAGAAAAUUGUAGUUCCUGAACUUUUUAAGAAUACUAUCUAGAGAUGCCUUGCUAUGUUGCAAGAAUAAACUUGCUCAGGAA